UCACCCCUCAAGCCCCGUGCUUGGUGUUGGACGGCCGGUCGAGGUCCCCCUCGACCCCUCCUAAAGACAACGACGGCGGCCUGUGGUUCCCCCGGUACACUGAGCUUCUUACCGAGCACGUACCGGACGAGGGCGCCCAGGACCCGGUCUUCUCCUCUCGCGAGGAAAUAUUUUUCUAU
rnacentral:misc_RNA from 1 species